AAACCCUUUUUUUAGGGAUAGGGUCGGUUCGGCCGGAUUUUACACAAGUGUUGCAUGGCUGUCGUCAGCUCGUGUCGUGAGAUGUUGGGUUAAGUCCCGCAACGAGCGCAACCCUCAUCCUUAGUUGCUAUCAGGUAAUGCUGAGUACUUUAAGGAAACUGCCAGUGAUAAGCUGGAGGAAGGUGGGGAUGAUGUCAAGUCAUCAUGGCCUUUAUGGAGUGGGCUACACACGUGCUACAAUGGUGUCUACAAUGGGCUGCAAGGUGCGCAAGCCUAAGCUAAUCCCUAAAAGACAUCUCAGUUCGGAUUGUACUCUGCAACUCGAGUACAUGAAGUUGGAAUCGCUAGUAAUCGUGGAUCAGCAUGCCACGGUGAAUACGUUCUCGGGUCUUGUACACACUGCCCGUCACGCCAUGGGAAUUGGUUCCGGCGUAAGCU
rnacentral:rRNA from 1 species